UCGCCUGUUUAUCAAAAACAUUUCCUCUGGAGGAAAUGAGAGGUAAGACCUGCCCCCUGAAAAUUAAAUGGCCGCGGUAUUUUGACCGUGCAAAGGUAGCAUAAUCAUUAGUCCUUUAAUUGAGGACUGGAAUGAAUGGUUAAACGAGAAAUGAGCUGUCUCCUUUUUAUAGACGGAAGUUUAUUUUAUAGUGAAAAAGCUAUAAUAUGGUAGGAGGACGAGAAGACCCUAUAGAUCUUUAUAAAUAACCCCCGUUAAAUUGGGAAAGGUUUUAGCGGUAAUAUGUUUAUUGAAUUGGGGUGAUGGUAGAGUAAGUAAACCUCUACAGAUAACCCACUAAUGCGUGCGUAUAGGAUCUAAGGGAAAAAGAGAAUAAGUUACCUUAGGGAUAACAGCGUGAUCCUCUUGAAGAGUUCAAAUCGAUAAGAGGGGUUGCGACCUCGAUGUUGGAUUAGAAAGAAUUACGGGGCAGCCCCUGUAAGGUUAGGUCUGUUCGACCAUUAAAUUUCUACAUGAUCUGAGUUCAAACCGGAGAUUU
rnacentral:rRNA from 1 species